rnacentral:rRNA from 1 species
UACGGGGGGGGCAAGCGUUGUUCGGAAUUACUGGGCGUAAAGGGCUCGUAGGUGGCCAACUAAGUCAGACGUGAAAUCCCUCGGCUUAACCGGGGAACUGCGUCUGAUACUGGAUGGCUUGAGUUCGGGAGAGGGAUGCGGAAUUCCAGGUGUAGCGGUGAAAUGCGUAGAUAUCUGGAGGAACACCGGUGGCGAAGGCGGCUUUCUGGACACUUACUGACGCUGAGACGCGAAAGCGUGGGGAGCAAACAGG